rnacentral:sRNA from 1 species
CUGCCAGUGCGGAGAAGCACCUUCAAAGCCCCACCGAGCCAUUAAGACCAGUUCCUCAGCUGUAAAUCAAACCAGCUCCAUAACACUUUUUUCCCCUCACCUGAGCCCUGACCUGGAGGGACCACAUCUUGUGGAGAGAGGGUAAUUCAUUCUCCAUGCUCACUCAAUCCAUAGACCCU